rnacentral:rRNA from 1 species
CCUACGGGUGGCUGCAGUGGGGAAUUUUGGACAAUGGGCGCAAGCCUGAUCCAGCCAUGCCGCGUGCGGGAAGAAGGCCUUCGGGUUGUAAACCGCUUUUGGCAGGAACGAAACGGCGAUUCCUAAUACGAGUCGUUAAUGACGGUACCUGCAGAAUAAGCACCGGCUAACUACGUGCCAGCAGCCGCGGUAAUACGUAGGGUGCAAGCGUUAAUCGGAAUUACUGGGCGUAAAGCGUACGCAGGCGGCUUUGCAAGACAGGUGUGAAAUCCCCG